AACGAACGCUGGCGGCAUGCCUAACACAUGCAAGUCGAACGAGACCUUCGGGUCUAGUGGCGCACGGGUGCGUAACGCGUGGGAACCUGCCUUUAGGUUCGGAAUAACUCAGAGAAAUUUGAGCUAAUACCGGAUGAUGUCUUCGGACCAAAGAUUUAUCGCCUUUAGAUGGGCCCGCGUUGGAUUAGCUAGUUGGUGGGGUAAAGGCCUACCAAGGCGACGAUCCAUAGCUGGUCUGAGAGGAUGAUCAGCCACACUGGGCUGAGACACGGCCCAGACUCCUACGGGAGGCAGCAGUGGGGAAUAUUGGACAAUGGGCGAAAGCCUGAUCCAGCAAUGCCGCGUGAGUGAUGAAGGCCUUAGGGUUGUAAAGCUCUUUUACCCGAGAUGAUAAUGACAGUAUCGGGAGAAUAAGCGCCGGCUAACUCCGUG
rnacentral:rRNA from 1 species